rnacentral:rRNA from 1 species
CACGCACGCUGGCGGCAUGCCUAACACAUGCAAGUCGAACGAGACCUUCGGGUCUAGUGGCGCACGGGUGCGUAACACGUGGGAAUCUGCCCUUUGCUUCGGAAUAACAGUUAGAAAUGACUGCUAAUACCGGAUGAUGUCUAAAGACCAAAGAUUUAUCGGCAAAGGAUGAGCCCGCGUAGGAUUAGGUAGUUGGUGGGGUAAAGGCCUACCAAGCCGACGAUCCUUAGCUGGUCUGAGAGGAUGAUCAGCCACCCUGGGACUGAGACACGGCCCAGACUUCUACGGGAGGCAGCGGUGGGGAAUAUUGGACAAUGGGCGAAAGCCUGAUCCAGCAAUGCCGCGUGAGUGAUGAAGGCCUUAGGGUUGUAAAGCUCUUUUACCAGGGAUGAUAAUGACAGUACCUGGAGAAUAAGCCCCGGCUAACUCCGUG